ensembl:lncRNA
GGUCCUUAUCCAUGGGGGCAAGCGUAUGAAGGUCGCCUGGUCCCUAUGUGUCCUUAUUGUCCCUAUAUUUUGUCUCUAUGUGUCCCUAUAUCUCUCUAUGUUUCCCUAUGGGCCCCUAUAGGUCUCUAUGUGUCCCUAUAUCUCUCUAUGGGGUCUCUAUGGGUCUCUAUGGGUCCCUAUAGGUCUCUAUGUAUCCCUAUGGGCCCCUCACCACGAUGGCACAGGCGGGCAGCCCCCUGUGCGCGGCUUGUCGGAGUGUCUCUUUUUAUUGUCCUAUGGGUCCCUAUAGGUCUCUAUGGGUCCCGAUGGGCCGGUUCCCUAUUUAGGUCUCUUAUGGGUCCCUAUAUCUCUCUAUGGGUCCCUAUAUCUCUCUAUGGGGUCUCUAUGGGUCUCUAUAGGUCUCUAUGGGGUCCCUAUGUGUCUCUAUGGGUCCCUAUGUGUCCCUAUGUGUCCCUAUGGGGUCCCUGUGUGUCCCUAUGUGUCUCUAUGGGGUCCCUAUGGGUCUCUAUGGGUCUCUAUGGGGUCUCUAUGGGGUCUCUAUGGGUCUCUACGGGGUCUCUAUGUGUCCCUAUGGGUCUCUAUAUGUCCCUAUGGGGUCCCUAUAGGGCUCUAUGGGUCUCUAUGGGUCUCUAUGGGGUCUCUAUGGGUCUCUAUGUGUCCCUAUGGGGUCCCUAUAUCUCUCUAUGGGGUCCCUAUAGGUCCCUAUAUCUCUCUAUGGGGUCUCUAUGGGUCCCUAUGGGUCUCUAUGGGUCCCUAUAGGUCUCUAUGGGGUCCCUAUAGGUCUCUAUGGGUCCCUAUAGGGCUCUAUGGGUCUCUAUGGGUCUCUAUAGGUCUCUAUGGGUCCCUAUAGGGCUCUAUGGGGUCCCUAUAGGUCUCUAUGGGUCCCUAUAGGUCUCUAUGGGGUCUCUAUGGGUCUCUAUGGGUCUCUAUGUGUCCCUAUGGGGUCCCUAUAGGUCUCUAUGGGUCCCUAUGGGGUCCCUAUGUAUCUCUAUGGGUCUCUAUGGGUCUCUAUGGGUCUCUAUGUGUCCCUAUAGGUCUCUAUGGGUCCCUAUGGGGUCCCUAUAGGUCUCUAUGGGUCUCUAUGUGUCCCUAUAGAUCUCUAUGGGUCCCUAUGUCUCUCUAUGGGUCCCUAUGGGGUCUCUAUAGGUCUCUAUAGGUCUCUAUGGGUCCCUAUAUCUCUCUAUGGGGUCCCUAUAUCUCUCUAUGGGUCCCUAUGUAUCCCUAUGGGCCCCUCACCACGAUGUGCACAGCGGGCAGCCCCCUGAGCGCGCUGUCGGGGUCUCUAUGUGUCCCUAUGGGGUCCCUAUAUCUCUCUAUGGGUCCCUAUGGGGUCCCUAUGUCUCUCUAUGGGGUCCCUAUAUCUCUCUAUGGGGUCUCUAUGGGUCGCUAUGGGUCUCUAUGGGGUCUCUAUGGGUCUCUAUGGGUCUCUAUGGGGUCUCUAUGGGUCUCUAUGUGUCCCUAUGUAUCUCUAUGGGGUCUCUAUGUGUCCCUAUGUCUCUCUAUGGGGUCUCUAUAGAUCCCUAUAUCUCUCUAUGGGGUCUCUAUGGGGUCCCUAUAGGUCUCUAUGGGUCCCUAUGUAUCUCUAUGGGGUCCCUAUAGGUCUCUAUGGGUCCCUAUAUCUCUCUAUGGGUCCCUAUGUGUCCCUAUACCCCCUCACCACGAUGUGCACAGCUGGCAGCCCCCUGAGCGCGCUGUCGGGGUCUCUAUGGGUCCCUAUGGGGCAGCUAUAGGUCCCUAUGUCUCUCUAUGGGGUCCCUAU